AGCGCCGGGCUUUCCUCGCGCCUGUCGAAGGCCGGCCUUCCCGCUCGGGUGUCUCGCCCUCUCGCUUCUCCGCAGGGCAGGAGGCAGUGGCGAGAAAAGGAGCUGCCGGCCGGAGUUCUAGCACCGAGAAGGAGAGUACUGGAAUACCUGAGUUUUGGCUGGGCACAGAACUGUCUGGAAUACAGACUGCAAUUCCCAGCCUUCUGUGCAGUUCUGUGUGGCCAUGUGACUAAGUUGUGGUCAAUAUGAGUCACGGAAGAAUAGAAGAACAACUCAGAGGAGGAAGAAGUCAGACAUAGCCAGACACGGCUGCUAGCAGUUCCACCAAUGAAAGAGGAGACCAGGAUGUUUAAAACAGGCAAACACAAGGUGCGAAAAACCAGAAGCGAAAACUUCUGAGGUCAUUUAAGCAAGGACUAUCGUUAUCCCCGGAAGCAGAGAGAAGUUCCCUUUGCCCAACAUCACACUGCAAGCACGUGUUGGAGCUGAGAUUCAAACCCAGGCAUCCAGGGUCCAGGGCCCAUGCUUUUAAUAUAUUCCAUAUCUUAGGAGAAUUUCCCCUAUUUAAACAAUAAAAGUGCAAAAAUCUUGUGGCUAGCCAAAAUUUUCAGUUGUUUGGAAAACUUAUUUAUCCAAUAAGUGGAAAACUCACUUGUCCUCCAACAAUUCUGGAUAAAUGAAAGAACGAAUUGAACUGAGACUGGAAUCCGGGUCUCCCAGUACUUUGUAGUUCCUAUCCAUAUGGCUUGUCAGGAAGGCCACAGGGAGGUUAACUAACUCUGCGUAACCAGAAACAAUCCCACAUCAGACUGUUGGCAGUGGGAGUGGAACACUCAGAGCUGAACCGCAUGCAAGAUGGUUGCAUUUUCAUUUGCAAUGUCGUCAUCUUCCUCAUGGCUAAAGAGGUAUUUUGGAGUUGACAUGAAGGCUACUGUAAUUUUUAGAGGCAUUUUCUUUCUGGCCUGUAUUUACAUAUUGUGGUAGAAGAGUCAGAAGACUUCAAGCUUCAAAAGUGAAUCUUGUUGCGAGUUACAAAAGCACCACCCGGUGGGGUGCAGCUCUCAGCAUGUGUCACCACAGGCACUGUGAUUUCCCUGUCUUCAUCCAACUUUGGUUGCUGUUCUUCAUGCUCAGGAAUUCUGCAACUGCUGUAGCUUUUGCUGUUGUUAUGUCUGUAGGUAUGGACUCAUUUCUACCAUUCUGGAAUGAAACAUUAUUUCAAGGGAAGCUUCUCAUUGUAAAAGGUCCACACAUUCAGAAGGAAACUGGGAGUACAUUUUCUCAUAGGCCUGGAGCAUUAACUGACUAUGCAUCUUUCCCCUCAGUGUUGUCAUCAUGUUGUAAGGGGAUGAGUCAUGGACAACAUUUUCACACACAUACGUGAGGUCCAUUGACCAGUCUUUAGGACAACUAGAAAUCUUUUCUUUCUUUGUUUUAAAAAGGAAGACAAGUCAAGAUACAGCAAAUAAAAAUGCUCAGCACAUUUGCUGAAAUCUUAGCAAAAUCAAAAAAAAAAAAAAAAAAAAAAAAA
rnacentral:lncRNA from 1 species